GAUGAACGCUGGCGGCGUGCUUAACACAUGCAAGUCGAACGAAGUCUUCGGACUUAGUGGCGGACGGGUGAGUAACGUGUGAGAAUCUGCCUAAAGGUGGGGGAUAACUAUUGGAAACGAUAGGUAAUACCGCAUAUGCCGAGAGGUGAAAGCCUAGAGUGCCUUUAGAUGAGCUCGCGUCUGAUUAGUUAGUUGGUGGGGUAAGAGCUUACCAAGACGACGAUCAGUAGCUGUUCUGAGAGGAAGAUCAGCCACACUGGGACUGAGACACGGCCCAG
rnacentral:rRNA from 1 species